UACGUAGGGGGCAAGCGUUGUCCGGAAUCAUUGGGCGUAAAGAGCGUGUAGGCGGUCCGGUAAGUCGGCUGUGAAAGUCCAGGGCUCAACCCUGGGAUGCCGGUCGAUACUGCCGGACUAGAGUUCGGAAGAGGCGAGUGGAAUUCCCGGUGUAGCGGUGAAAUGCGCAGAUAUCAGGAGGAACACCUAUUGCGAAGGCAGCUCGCUGGGACGUAACUGACGCUGAGACGCGAAAGCGUGGGGAGCAAACAGG
rnacentral:rRNA from 1 species